UGAAGAAAAAGUGUGGGAUUUCAAGGGAUUAAGCUAAUAAAGGCCCGAUGUAGCUUGUGGCUAGCAGAUAUCGUCAAGGAUUAUAGUCGGCUUUACUACUCCAAAAACUGUAGGUUUACUGCCUUUGUGCACUUUUGUUCCUUGUGGGCCCACGAGUCACUGUAAAGGUGAGGUGCACUUGCCCAUGAUGAUAGUGGUGAGGGAGAUGGAUGGUGACACUACCUGUGUGCACGAUGUGGGGGGAUGUACACGAUGGCAUUAUUUUGUGCA